rnacentral:rRNA from 1 species
GAUGAACGCUGGCGGCGUGCCUAAUACAUGCAAGUCGAGCGAACAGACGAGGAGCUUGCUCCUCUGACGUUAGCGGCGGACGGGUGAGUAACACGUGGAUAACCUCCCUAUAAGACGGGGAUAACUUCGGGAAACCGGAGCUAAUACCGUAUAAUAUAUUGAACCGCAUGGGUCAAUAGUGAAAUACGGUGUUUCGGGCACUUACAGAGGGAUCUGCGCCGGAUGAGCUAGUUGGGAAGGUAACGGCUUACCAAGGCAACGAUGCGUAGACGAACUGAGAGGCUGAUAGGCCACACUGGAACUGAGACACGCUCCAGACUCCUACGAGAGGCAGCAGUAGGGAAUCUUCCGCAAUGGGCGAAAGCUUGACGGAGCAACGCCGCGUGAGUGAUGAAGGUCUUCGGAUCGUAAAACUCUGUUAUUAGGGAAGAACAAAUGUGUAAGUAAAUAUGCACGUAUUGACGGUACCUAAUCAGAAAGCAACGGCUAACUACGUG